UGAAAUCGUGGCUGAGCGGUCAAAGGCGGUAGACUGUAAAUCUAUUGGAAUUUUCCUACGUUGGUUCGAAUCCAAUCGAUUUCAU
rnacentral:tRNA from 1 species